UACGAAGGGUGCAAGCGUUGCUCGGAAUCAUUGGGCGUAAAGCGCACGUAGGCGGACUGUUAAGUCGGACGUGAAAUCCCUCAGCUUAACUGAGGAAGUGCAUUCGAAACUGGCAGUCUUGAGUAUGGAAGAGGGUCGCGGAAUUCCCGGUGUAGAGGUGAAAUUCGUAGAGAUCUGGAAGAACACCAAAGGCGAAGGCAGCAUCCUGGGAAGUUCCUGACGCUCGGGUGCGAAAGCCAGGGGAGCGAACGGG
rnacentral:rRNA from 1 species